GUUAAUGCAAGGCCAUAGUCAACUCCUGGAGCCCCACCCCCACCCUGCUUCACACACACUCCCUCAGAACCAAACUUCACUCCAUCUGGACACAGGGUAUUGAUCGGGGAAGGUUGCCAGAGCUCCUCAGGAUUCUCUCUAGGCCUAAUGUGCUCUAAAUUAAAGAUUCACUUUCAUUAAAGAAAAUGAAAAGAAAAGGCAAUAACAGAGAAUGACAAGGAAGAAAAAAAGAUGCCAGGUCUUUGCCCAAUAAGGGCCCCAAAGGACAGUACAAUCAAGAAUGAGGGAGGAGAGUUUGGUGAGGUGGGAGUGAGCGUCAGGGAUGAGCUUUCCCUGUAACUUCCCUACCCUAAAUAAAGGAUUAGGAGUUUGCACACAGAAAGAGAAAAGUCAGGACAACCACAUGCGGGGUGGAAGAGUGAACGCAGACACCAUUGUCUUCCCAACGGAUUAAAGCCAACUGGCAAAUGUUCGUUACAGAAAUUUGUUGAGGUGGUUUCCUAAUAGGCAGGCUUCCCCGGGUGAGUUUCUUGUGGACAAAUGGAGCCUGAAGUAUUGUUGAAUGAUCUCUGCAACAUUGCCAGGAAGGGCUGUACCCAUCUGCUAUAAAUUGCAGGUUUUCUGCCUCUUAAGAGCCAAUGUUGUAGAGCUGCUGAAAACCUCAAACGCAUUUAAAUACAGAAGCAAACCCUCCAAAGGGGGAUAGCUAGGUGCCGAGCUAUUUGCUGGCUUCCACACCGAAAGCUCUGGCAUUGCGGCACCGCAUCGUCUAAGUUUCAGGAUGCAGCUGUAGGUAGAUGCAGGAUCAACCUGUACCAGCUACAAGGAGGAUAAAAGAUCAACCUCUCUACCUUUUAUGGACAAGUCAUAGAAUUAGCCUGUCAGCGUGUUAUGUGCCUCACCAAGGACAUUCUCACAUGGAGCAAACUCUUUUUUGUGAUGAAGCAGAAAAUAUCCAUUGUGGUUUGUGGGUCAUCAUCUCUUCUGAAACUGCUCUACUCUUUCCUUAUAACACAAAAGCUACAAUAUAACCAACAAUGUAAACAAAUGAGAUUGUUUUCUAAUAAAGCUUCAUUUACUCAAAAGCA